rnacentral:lncRNA from 1 species
GCUAGGCUGUCUGUGUCCUCUUGGUACUUUCUCACAGUUCUGAAGUGCGCCUGCUGGCAUUACUGUGGAGGUAUCUACUUACCAAUUUAUCUGACAGUUCAAUUUCAGAAGUUGAUUUUCAGUGUAUGAACAUGAUAAGGCAACACUGGGACAAACUGAAGGUCUUUCCAUCCCAGGGUCCCAUUUCCAAAAGCAGCUAAAAGACACAGGAAUUUUAGCAAUGACACACACAGAGAAGCCCAGUAAAGUAAGAGGUGCUUUAUAAUGAGAACACUCUCAUUGGCCUUCAGAUUGCAAGAAAUGGUGAUGUAUAAAGACAUGAGACAAGGCUUCCAACCAUCACUAGAGUACCUCAUUUGUGAGAAAUGGCAAGAGGUCAGAAGAGGGAGUCAACUUGCUAGGACCAGUUCUCAUAUUCAUUUAAAUAAAGCAGAUGAUCC